GCGAGGCCGAAAGGCGUAGUCGAUGGGAAACAGGUUAAUAUUCCUGUACUUGGUGUUACUGCGAAGGGGGGACGGAGAAGGCUAUGUUGGCCGGGCGACGGUUGUCCCGGUUUAAGCGUGUAGGCUGGUUUUCCAGGCAAAUCCGGAAAAUCAAGGCUGAGGCGUGAUGACGAGGCACUACGGUGCUGAAGCAACAAAUGCCCUGCUUCCAGGAAAAGCCUCUAAGCAUCAGGUAACAUCAAAUCGUACCCCAAACCGACACAGGUGGUCAGGUAGAGAAUACCAAGGCGCUUGAGAGAACUCGGGUGAAGGAACUAGGCAAAAUGGUGCCGUAACUUCGGGAG
rnacentral:rRNA from 1 species